rnacentral:rRNA from 1 species
GUGGGGAAUCUUGCGCAAUGGGCGAAAGCCUGACGCAGCCAUGCCGCGUGGAUGAUGAAGGUCUUAGGAUUGUAAAAUCCUUUCACCGGUGAAGAUAAUGACUGUAGCCGGAGAAGAAGCCCCGGCUAACUUCGUGCCAGCAGCCGCGGUAAUACGAAGGGGGCUAGCGUUGCUCGGAUUUACUGGGCGUAAAGGGCGCGUAGGCGGACAUUUAAGUAAGGGGUGAAAUCCCGGGGCUCAACCUCGGAACUGCCUUUGAUACUGGGUGUCUUGAGUAUGAGAGAGGUGUGUGGAACUCCGAGUGUAGAGGUGAAAUUCGUAGAUAUUCGGAAGAACACCAGUGGCGAAGGCGACACACUGGCUCAUUACUGACGCUGAGGCGCGAAAGCGUGGGGAGCAAACAGGAUUAGAUACCCCAGUAGUCC